UCAAACAAGAACUCGCAUCUCACUACGAAAUUCUCCAUCACUUCGCAUUCGCAAUGGAAUGACCUUGAUUUGGCAUUCUGUAAACACUAAUCAUAAUUACCCUGCCUCGAGCGAAGUGAAGUGACAACGAAGUUUGUUUACAAUACUACUAGGGAUAGCCGUAUACACGCAAAUGUAAAUCGAAGCUUACCGGUUUCAGUUUUUCUUUGUAUUUAGAAGCAUUCUGUAAGAAAAUACUAUGAAUUUAAGCUUUGGUGUCUAAACCACAUCUAAUAUAUCUAAAAAGAAAAUUAAAAGUCAUAUAUUUAUGAAAUUAAUUGUAAUUUCUGGCUGUACGCUAAGUUCCUUUGCGUGCACUGGCGAAUACCAGAAUUAAAAAACAAAAUUUUAAUUGUUUUCAAAACAAUUUCGAGCGGUCGGAAGUUUUUAUUUUGCUUUUUCUAGAUUUGUUGAUACUUUGUGAGUGAAUUUAACGUUAAAUAAAAAUUAUGAGAUUUAAAGAGCGUUCUUCUCAUCCGACAUUGUCGCAAAUAGAGGCAUUGAUAAACGUUUUGGGUUAAAAGCUAGCGAAACAAAAGGAUUAAUCGAAUCUCAACAUGUUCAAUAAGAGAACAAGGAUAUUAAAAAAAUAUAGGAACUAAAUUCUCUUGUCAGUUAAGAUCCAUUCCCGGAACUACAACAGAUUGAAAAUACUAAUCCACAUCAUCAGAAUAUUGUAAGGAGAAUUUAUAGCCAACUCGGAAAAUGUAUCAGUAUUGGAACAAUCGCAAACAUACAGCAUUGCAUCAAGAAUCACCUAUUUUGCAGUCAUCAUCCUCUAACUAAAUGCAAGUAACUUCUACUUAUUGUGAUGCUACUACUAGUAGCUCCAGCCACAGUAGGUCUCACAUGUUAGUCAAGAGAUUGGGUUGAUAUGUGUUUAUUCAGGUCAAAGUACCUAUUCAUUGAACCACCAUAUUAGGGACAUUGAUUUGUGUAUAAUGCUGUUACUUGUAAAUAAAAACAUUUUGUUGCAUGUAUUGUAAACAUUGUAUUUUACCUAACCUUGUUUUUAAAUAAAUUUUUUAUUUUUUUCAGCACCUCAACACCUGACCUGCUAUUUCACCACUUUUACAAUGAAAAGCAGAGUGUACUCAAAUUACUGAGAGAAUUUUGUGGAUAGAGGAACUGCAGGUGAAGAUUCAGGGUGUUCAUAUGUGUGUCGUCCAAAGCAUUUUUGAACACAGUACCAUAUAUAACUUAAUGAAACUUACAACCAUGGGGGAAUGAAUAGUCGACAAUCUGCAAGAAGGAUGAACUGUUGGUGGAAUUAGCACAUGCAGCGCUAGCAAUUUUAAACCUGUAUUUCCACAUAAGUUACUGAUGCAAACAAAUUUCAAAAUUAUUGUAUAUAACUAUUGAAUAAAACUAUAAUAAAACUAUUUUUAUAAA